rnacentral:rRNA from 1 species
UACGGGGGGGGCAAGCGUUGUUCGGAAUUACUGGGCGUAAAGGGUUCGUAGGUGGCCUGCUAAGUCAGACGUGAAAUCCCUCAGCUUAACUGGGGAACUGCGUCUGAGACUGAUAGGCUCGAGUGCAGGAGAGGUACGCGGAAUUCCAGGUGUAGCGGUGAAAUGCGUAGAUAUCUGGAGGAACACCGGUGGCGAAGGCGGCGUUGUGGACUGCUACUGACACUGAGGAACGAAAGCCAGGGGAGCAAACGGG